UACAAAAACAUCUCUUCUUGUUAGUUUUUGAAGUAUGGCCUGCCCACUGACGUGUAGUUGAAGGGCCGCGGUAUUUUGACCGUGCAAAGGUAGCAUAAUCAUUAGUUCUUUAAUUGUGAUCUGGUAUGAAUGGCUUGACGAGAUAUAAGCUGUCUUAGGGGUAUUGUUUAUUGAAUUUGGUUUUUGAGUUAAAAUUCUUAAAUGUUUUUAUGGGACGAGAAGACCCUAUAGAGUUUGACAUUUUUGUUUACUAUUUUAUUUGUUGUGUUAUUUUAUUUUUAGUGAUAUUAAGUGUUUUGUUGGGGUGAUGGGAGGAAAUUUUAUUAACUCCUCUUUGUUUUUGUAUAUUUAUUUAUACUUUCUUGAUCCAUUUAUUGUGAUUAUAAGAUUAAAUUACCUUAGGGAUAACAGCGUUAUCUUCCUUGAGAGUUCUUAUUGGCGGGAAGGUUUGCGACCUCGAUGUUGGAUUAAGGUUAAUUUUCGGUGCAGAGGCUGGAAAUGAUUGGGUCUGUUCGACCUUUAAAAUCUUACGUGAUCUGAGUU
rnacentral:rRNA from 1 species